UCCAGAGAUCCACCGUCUCCCACCGCUUCAAAAAAAAAAAAGGUAAAACGCCUAGACUCCAGACUAAUCUCUCUUCCUCCCCAUGGCUGCCGGCCUGCCGCCAACGUUUUCCCUACCGAUUGCAGUUCCCCGCCCCCUUCCCUCCCCCUCCUUGGCCGAUGUGCAGGAGUUGGGAGCCCUCCUCUCUUUCUCCGAACCCCUGCUCCUCCAGCCGCGUCAUGGUGCAGCCCCAGAUGGGAGGAACCGGCAUGGGGGCCAUGGGGGCAUCGACAACGCCAGUGUCGCGGUCGGCGAGGUCUAGGCUUGGCGGGGUCGGCCGAGAUCGGCGCUGGUGGACGGAAGUGAGAAUUGGUGGCGGCUGCAGCGGUGGUACUGAAUUGCGCAGCGGGGAACUUUGAGGCGGAGGAGUAGGGCGGCGACAAGGAUGUCCUGCAGGAGGAGGAUGUGGAGGGAGAAGUGCACGGAGCUGUCUCCGAGGUGGCGACGGCACAUGGCAGUCAUAAGGAUAGUCUGUGUCUAUACGAGAAGAUCCAGUUCUUUGUUGGGAAAAGAUCAGGGUCUCUUUUGUGGCUUACUUUAAGCCCUGCAGUUCAGCAUAUACUUUUGGUUACUCUGGGUUCAGAAAGAAUCAAGAGAAAAAGCACUGUUUUAUAUCUGGAAAGGGAAGAGAACUAUCUGCACAUGUUGUUUUUCUCCUCAAGAAUAUAUUCUGCAUCAGUAUGAUGCCUGCUUUUCAAGAUCGCUUGCACCUUCGAUGUUAAGCAGGAUGAUGCACUUAUUUUAGAAUAGAGUGGAAGUAUUAGUACUACUCUACAUAUUAGAGCAUAAGAAAUCUCUGAAUUGUAUCUUCGAAAAUACGCUGAACCCACAAUACCCCGCCACCUUUAUUUAUGAUUUAUUUUUGCGUUCAUAAGUCAGACACGCUAUUUUGACUACUUUCGUCACCCAUACAAGUUCCAACUUUACAGCUUCCAUCAAUGUUUGUUUCAUUCCUUCAUGUCAUUGGUAUAUAGUAGCACAGUACAUAAAGAAAUGUAUGAAUUUUGCAGGUUUAGUAACAUAUCCAGUAGUUGCAGACAAAUACUUGAUUGGCCAGCUUCCUCACUAUUUGAAGUAUGUUCAGUGUCAAAUCAACUAUGGAAUUACACAGAUCCCACGUUUCAUAGAAUCAAAAUUAAUGCGCUGAAGGUACAAACAUCAUUGGUCUUAUGAUAAGCUUGCUUACUUCAAGAACAAUCAGGCAAGGACUAAAAAGAUGCAAAGUUGCACUACCAGCACCAGCUGAUGGGGAACACAAUGGAAAGAUACAUUCUAGCCAACCGGAUAGACCAGUUCAGGGAACAUGUGAAGGAAAAAAGCUCAAUAUAUAGUUCUAUAAUAUGUACGGAAAAAAUACGAGGCAACAGACCACCACCCUUACUUGAUCAAAAUAACAUAUAUAGCUGACAAAAAUUCACGAAGUCAUUCUGAAGCCUGAAAACUUUCCAUUGUUUGCAUAUGAUGUGCAGCCUUUCAAUGUCCUGCAUACCUGCAUAGGCGACAGUACCCUUCUGUCAGGUAUUCAAUGAACAAUUGUUUAAACUAUAUGCUGUCAGACGGGUUACAAUGCUGUCAGACAUUAUUCCGUCCAGGACAAAUCCAUUGACACUCCAUGGGGAUGGCGUGCAAAAGCCUUUUAUGCAUCUGCUCUUUAUAGAGCUUCAUGUGAGCAUACCAUUGUUAUACUCUGCCGUGUAUCGGUAGCCUAUACUGAGUUUUUUUUGUAAUAAGGAUAGUUCUGUGGUUUAUCUUGGUAGGUAGCUUAUAAUCUGUGCUCUACACUGAAGUUGUUUGUAAUGAAUUAUCAUACAUUUUGUGUACAACUGUAAUAUUAGUGAGUUUAUAUUGUUUUACCAUCCA